rnacentral:rRNA from 1 species
ACGGCCGCGGUACCCUAACCGUGCGAAGGUAGCAUAAUCACUUGUUCUUUAAAUGAGGACUAGUAUCAACGGCAUCACGAGGAUCCUACUGUCUCCCCCCUCCAGUCAGUGAAACUGAUCUCUCCGUGAAGAAGCGGAGAUACGCAUAUAAGACGAGAAGACCCCAUGGAGCUUUAAACCCAACAACACCCGCCUCCCUUAAACCCUAUUAUCAGCCCGGCGAUUGUUUGCUUGGUUUUAGGUUGGGGUGACCACGGAGUACAAAACAUCCUCCAUGAAAAAAAGCUAACUGCCCUUAUUAGAGAAAGACAUUUCCAAAAAAUAACAAAUUAAUUUUUAAUGACCCGAUAUUCGAUCAACGAACCAAGUUACCCUGGGGAUAACAGCGCAAUCCGCCCCGAGAGCCCCUAUCGACAGGCGGGUUUACGACCUCGAUGUUGGAUCAGGGUAUCCUAGUGGUGCAGCAGCUACUAACGGUUCGUUUGUUCAACGAUUAAAACCCU